UACGGGGGGAGCAAGCGUUGUUCGGAUUUACUGGGCGUAAAGGGCGCGUAAGCGGUCAGCACAAGUCAGUUGUGAAAUCUCCGAGCUUAACUCGGAAAGGUCAACUGAUACUGUGCGACUAGAGUGCGGAAGGGGCAACUGGAAUUCUUGGUGUAGCGGUGAAAUGCGUAGAUACCAGGAGGAACACCGGUGGCGAAGGCGGCUUCCUGGCCCAGUACUGACGCUGAGGCACGAAAGCGUGGGGAGCGAACGGG
rnacentral:rRNA from 1 species